CGCUGGCGGCGUGCCUAACACAUGCAAGUCGAGCGAGAAGCUUAUGAACGAGCCUUCGGGCGAGUGAUUAAGUGGAAAGCGGCGGACGGGUGAGUAACGCGUGAGUAACCUGCCUGUGUGAGGGGGACAACAGCUGGAAACGGCUGCUAAUACCGCAUAAUGUAUAACUUCCGCAUGGGAGAUAUACCAAAGAUUUAUCGCACACAGAUGGACUCGCGUUGGAUUAGCUAGUUGGUAAGGUAACGGCUUACCAAGGCGACGAUCCAUAGCCGGACUGAGAGGUUGAACGGCCACAUUGGGACUGAGACACGGCCCAGACUCCUACGGGAGGCAGCAGUGGGGGAUAUUGCACAAUGGGCGAAAGCCUGAUGCAGCGACGCCGCGUGAGUGAAGAAGUAUUUCGGUAUGUAAAGCUCUAUCAGCAGGGAAGAUAAUGACAGUACCUGACUAAGAAGCCCCGGCUAACUACGUG
rnacentral:rRNA from 1 species